AUGCAGUCCAGCUCCAAGGCCGGCGGCAACGGCGACGCGAAGCACCUGGUUUGCGUGACCGGGGCGGGAAGUUUCAUCGGCUCGUGGGUGGUGAAGGAGCUCCUCCUCCGUGGCUACCGUGUCCGGGGAACCGCCAGGGAUCCCGCUCACCGCAAGAACGCGCACUUGCUCGCGCUGGAUGGCGCCGGGGAGAGGCUCACGCUUUGCCGUGCCGACGUCAUGCACGGCGACAGCCUCCGCGCCGCGUUCUGGGGCUGCCGCGGCGUGUUCCACAUCGCCUCCCCGGUCUCCAACGACCCCGAGCUUGUGCCUGAGGCCGUGGAGGGGACGAGGAACGUGAUCAACGCGGCGGCGGACGCGGGCGUGCGGCGCGUGGUGUUCACUUCCUCCUACGGUGCCGUGCACAUGGACCCCAACCGGAGCCCCGACACCGUCGUCACGACUACGACUACUGCAAACAAACCGGCGUACAACCUAUACUGCUGCGCCAAAAUGAUGGCGGAGGUCGCGGCGACGGAGGAGGCGGCCAGGAGGGGGCUGGAGCUGGCAGUUGUGGUGCCGGCGACGACAAUCGGUCCCGCGCUGCAGCAGACACUCAACUUCAGCAGCGACCACGUCGCCCGGUUCCUCAUGGGCGCCAAGCCUGCCUACCAGAACGCCGUCACCGCCUACGUCGACGUCCGGGACGUCGCCCGCGCGCACGCCCUCGUCUACGAGCACCCUGAAGCGCGCAGCCAUCGCUACCUCUGCGUCAGCGCCGUGCUGCACCGCGCCCACUUCGUCCGGCUCCUCAAGGACCUCUUCCCGCAGUACCCCGUCACCGCCAAGUGCGAAGAUGACGGCAAGCCGAGGGUGAGGGAGUACAGGUUCUCGAAUCAGAAGCUCGGGGAUCUGGGCCUGGAGUUCACUGACAUGAGGACAAGCUUGUACGAGACGGUGAUAUGCCUGCAGCACAGGGGCCAUGUCCCUGUCAUCGUGCCACGUCAUCGUGCAUGUUUGUGA
rnacentral:rRNA from 1 species